rnacentral:rRNA from 1 species
UACAGAGGGGGCAAGCGUUGUUCGGAAUUACUGGGCGUAAAGGGCGCGUAGGCGGCCCGCUAAGUCGAACGUGAAAUCCCUGGGCUCAACCCAGGAACUGCGUCCGAUACUGGCAGGCUUGAAUCCGGGAGAGGGAUGUGGAAUUCCAGGUGUAGCGGUGAAAUGCGUAGAUAUCUGGAGGAAUACCGGUGGCGAAGGCGGCAUCCUGGACCAACACUGACACUGAGGAGCGAAAGCCAGGGGAGCAAACGGG